CAAAUUUCAAAAGACCGCAGUACACCUAAUGAAUGCUUGCAGCACACACUGAUGUUUAAACCACUGCCAUAGUCUUCUCUCAGAUAUUAUUUCUAAUACUUCUUUGUUAGUUACCAAAUCCGUCAGACUAUUUUAAGCAUUCUUCUAUUACAUCACAUCUCAAAAGCUUCUAUUCUUCUCUUUCCUUUGGCAAUCGUCCACAUUUCGCUGCCAUAUAGAAACAUACUCAUUACAUAAGUCUUCAAAAAAAUGUUUGUGGUAUGUAUACUUAUAUUUCUUUAAGUAAACAGUUCUAUCUUUUUAUUAAAUACUAUCUUAGUUUGGUAUAUUCAUUUAAUUAUUUCAUUUUUACUUUUACCAUCUUGUUAUACUUCCCAAAUAUAAAAACUCUUCUACUUUCUCUAUUUCUUGGUUAUUUUAUAGAUGUAUUCUUGACCUAAUAUUAUUGUUUUUGCUACAUACAAGAACUUUAGUCUUUUUCAUAUUUAGUUCAUUGAGUAGGUAGUGUUUAUUUCAUACAUCUCAACAUCCUUUGCAAUCCUUCUUUAUUUUCAUCUAUUAAUGCUAUAUUAUCUGCUUUAUACCCAAAUGUUUUCUAUUUAAUUAUGACGAUUGCCUCUUGGAUAAAUGCAUUAAAUAUGCUAGGUGAGAGAGUACAACCCUGCCUUACUCCUUUUCUUAUGCAUGCUUUCAUUUCAAAUUUACCAAAUCUUAUACAGCUAUAAUCUUUUAACAGCUGUUUCCUUCUGGUAUAGCUUAAAGAAUAGUCUCCUUUCAGUGUAUUCUAUUUCUUCUUUUAUAAGCAUCUCAAAUACUACAGACCAGUUAACAUUAUCGAGCGUUAAUUUUUUUUUCAAUAAUUGAGAAUGGAUGGAUGGAUGG